UACAGAGGUCUCAAGCGUUGUUCGGAUUCAUUGGGCGUAAAGGGCGUGUAGGCGGCCACCGCAAGUCGGUUGUGAAAUCUCCGGGCUUAACCCGGAAAGGUCAACCGAUACUGCGGGGCUAGAGUGCAGAAGGGGCAACUGGAAUUCUCGGUGUAGCGGUGAAAUGCGUAGAUAUCGAGAGGAACACCUGCGGCGAAGGCGGGUUGCUGGGCUGACACUGACGCUGAAACGCGAAAGCUAGGGGAGCGAACGGG
rnacentral:rRNA from 1 species